rnacentral:lncRNA from 1 species
UCUACCUUUAUACAAAUAAAUAAUUGCAAUCUCAAUAGUUAACCCUAACUUGUUACAAUCACUCAUCCAAAUAAGCUAACUUACAAUCAAAUAUAACUUCUCCAAGAAAGCCUAUAACUCACAAGUGGUUUAAAAAUUUUCAUGAUUCAGUGCAAUAUUUCACUUUAAGAACAACAGUACUUCAAGCUAGCUAAACCAACAUAAAUAUCAAAAUCACCAAUGCAAUCCAAUACCAACUAUACAAUAAUUUAUGUUUUACUCCCUUAGUUAAG